GUGAAUCAUCGAAUUUUUGAACGCAAAUUGCACUCUCUGGUAUUCCGGAGAGUAUGCCUGUUUGAGGGUCAGUAAAUAUAAAAAUCGAGGUGUUGCUGUUUUGUGACCCAUCGGUAUUGGGUUAUCUUUGACCUUUUAAAAAGUGUAAGGGACCUCAAAUUGAUACUUAGAGCAUCUCGGCCGU
rnacentral:misc_RNA from 1 species